GUGUAAGUGUAUAUAUACUCUCUUGAUCCCGUUGAGGGAAAUUUGGUCUCUGCAUUUAUCCCAAUCCGUGAAUUGGGGAAACACACUCAGCACACAUGAGGUGAAGCACAC